GCAAUAUGUACAGUGUCAGGAUCUGCAGAUGAAUGUGUACCUUACUCAACAUGUCAGAGUGUAGGAUCAGACCUCAGAUGUCAAUGUUCUAUUGGAUACUAUGAUAAUGAUGUAAACACUGCUGCUGGAACUUGUGUACCAGAACUACAGUCAGGAGUAACAUGUACCAGGGAUAAUGAUGCAACAGAAUGUGUACCUAAUGCUGUAUGUAAGAGUGGAGCUUGUACCUGUAAUACUGGUUACUAUGAUGAUAAUUUUAGUGCCUCUGGUGGACAAUGUGCUGCAGAGAUAGCUUUGAGUGUAAUAUGUACUAAGGAAAAUAUUACAACUGAGUGUGUGCCUUAUGCUGUAUGCCAGAGAGAUGGAUCAGAACUAAAAUGUACCUGUUCAAACGGUUUUUAUGACAGUAACUUUGCUGAUUCUGGUGGAACCUGUAUACCAGAAUUACUGUCUAGUGUAACAUGUACCAGGGAUAAUGAUGCAAUAGAAUGUGUACCUAAUGCUGUUUGUAAGAAUGGAGGGUCAGGACUAAAAUGUACCUGUAAUAAUGGUUACUAUGAUAAUAAUUUUCCUAACACUGGUGGACAAUGUG